CUCCCAGAGAUGGGACUGACAUCCUUCAAAGCUCCAUGGAAACAAGCUAUGGCCCAGUGAUUGAGAUAGUUUCUCAAAACUUGAACAUCAGUCCCUCGGCAUAUCAAAGGAAGGGCUGGUAUUUCCCCAGUUGUGAACACAGCACUGCAGAAGUUAAUUAGAAAACAUACUGUAUCCCAGGGGCUAUGCUGAAUUCCUUAUAUAGUCGGUCCUCCCUAUCUGAGAUGGAUCUUUAAACUCUACAGCCUGGCACAAUUAUCUGAAGGAGAAAAAGAAUGAUCUAACCUGUGAGGACAUAGUAAAUAAUUAUUUAAAUGCUUGGGGAAUAUUAAAAAACAUUUCAAGGUGAUCAUGAGAUCACUGUCAGUUAACAAGGAAUAAUGACAAGGGGGAAAGCAAUAUAUUGAUUAACAUAUGACAAAUGGA